UUCCGGUUGAUCCUGCCGGACCCGACUGCUAUUUGGGUGAGGAUAAACCAUGCGAGUUGAAUGGGAUACCUAAAUAUCCCAUAGCAAACUGCUCAGUAACACAUGAUCAACUUACCCUAUGGAGAAAAAUAACCUCGGGAAACUGAGGAUAAUGUUUCAUAGUUGAAUAGGCUUGGAAAAGUUUUUCAAUGAAAGGGAUAAGAAAAAUGGUUCUUAUUUGCCAUAGGAUAGGAUCGUGGUCGAUUAUGGUUGUUGGUGAGGUAACGGCUCACCAAGCCGAUAAUCGAUAGGGGCCGUGAGAGCGGGAGCCCCGAGAUGGGUACUGAGACAACGACCCAGGCCUUACGAGGCGCAGCAGGUGCGGAACCUCCGCAAUACACGAAAGUGUGACGGGGUUACCCAAAGUGUUCAUUAUUGAACUGUGGUAGGUGAGUAAUGUCCCCUACUAGAAAGGAGAGGGCAAGGCUGGUGCCAGCCGCCGCGGUAAAACCAGCUCCUCAAGUGGUCGGGAUGAUUAUUGGGCUUAAAGUGUCCGUAGCCGGUUUAGUAAGUUCCUGGUCAAAUCGGGUAGCUUAACUAUCCGUAUGCUAGGAAUACUGCUAUACUAGAGGGCGGGAGAGGUCUGAGGUACUAUAGGGGUAGGGGUGAAAUCCUAUAAUCCUUAUAGGACCACCAGUGGCGAAGGCGUCAGACUGGAACGCGCCUGACGGUGAGGGACGAAAGCCAGGGGAGCGGACCGGAUUAGAUACCCGGGUAGUCCUGGCCGUAAACGAUGCAUACUAGGUGAUGGCACGGCCAUGAGCCGUGUCAGUGCCGUAGGGAAACCGUUAAGUGUGCCGCCUGGGAAGUACGGUCGCAAGGCUAAAACUUAAAGGAAUUGGCGGGGGAGCACCACAAGGGGUGAAGCCUGCGGGUUCAAUUGGAUUCAACGCCGGGAAUCACUAGUGCGG
rnacentral:rRNA from 1 species